rnacentral:tRNA from 1 species
GCCUGGGGAGCUCAGUCAGUUAAGCAUCUGACUUCAACUCAGGUCAUAAUCUCACAGUUCGUGGGUUCAAGCCCCGCAUCAGGCU